ACACACACACACAUAGACACACACACACACAUAGACACACACACACACAUAGACACACACACACAUAGACACACACACACACAUAGACACACACACACACACAUAGACACACACACACACACAUAGACACACACACACACAUAGACACACACACACAUAGACACACACACACACAUAGACACACACACACAUAGACACACACACACACAUAGACACACACACACACACAUAGACACACACACACACACAUAGACACACACACACAUAGACACACACACACAUAGACACACACACACACACAUAGACACACACACAUAGACACACACACAUAGACACACACACACACAUAGACACACACACACACACAUAGACACACACACACACACAUAGACACACACACACACAUAGACACACACACACACAUAGACACACACACACACAUAGACACACACACAUAGACACACACACAUAGACACACACACAUAGACACACACACGCACACACACACACACGCACACACACACACACACACACAGAGUCAUCCCCCUGAACACCCCGGCAAACUCAACCCCCUCAACAUCCCACCCCACGCCUCCCACACCCG
rnacentral:lncRNA from 1 species